CAGACAAGAAAUUGGCAAGAUUGCUGGAGAAAAGAGAAGGUCCUUUUAAAAGCUGCAUGUUGAUCAUCCAUGGACCGCAGGGCAAGCAGCUCUCCAUCAGGCCGAGACUUGGAAAGCAAGGGCCAGACUUUCAUUGAGGACUGAGAUGCAGCAGGCAGAAGACUGAUUGCUGCAGAAAAGCCUGCACCCCGGAAUGCAGAGACGUUUCUGACUAAGAAACAGAUCUCCCUCCAGUAGGUCGUUGGAUAUGCCUCAGUUGACUAGGCCACCCAGAGCAGGAAAAGAACCUGCCCUCUGUCCCAUAACACUGCCCACUCGUGCCAUUAUUGUAGUCAUUGCUGAAUUUAUUAAGGUAA